rnacentral:rRNA from 1 species
AACGAACGCUGGCGGCAGGCUUAACACAUGCAAGUCGAGCGCCCCCAAGGGGAGCGGCAGACGGGUGAGUAACGCGUGGGAAUCUACCCAUCUCUACGGAAUAACGCAUGGAAACGUGUGCUAAUACCGUAUACGUCCUUCGGGAGAAAGAUUUAUCGGAGAUGGAUGAGCCCGCGUUGGAUUAGCUAGUUGGUGGGGUAAAGGCCUACCAAGGCGACGAUCCAUAGCUGGUCUGAGAGGAUGAUCAGCCACACUGGGACUGAGACACGGCCCAGACUCCUACGGGAGGCAGCAGUGGGGAAUAUUGGACAAUGGGCGCAAGCCUGAUCCAGCCAUGCCGCGUGAGUGAUGAAGGCCUUAGGGUUGUAAAGCUCUUUCACCGGAGAAGAUAAUGACGGUAUCCGGAGAAGAAGCCCCGGCUAACUUCGUGCCAGCCGCCGCCGUAAAAC